AGCUAUGUAAAUAGAAGCUCAGGUAACUAGCACUCAGGUAACUAGCACUCAGGUAACUAGCACUCAGGUAACUAGCACUCAGGUAACUAGCACUCAGGUAACUAGAACUCUAGCACUCAGGUAACUAGCACUCUGGUAACUAGAACUCUAGCACUCAGGUAGGGCUACAGUAGGUCAUUCCAGUGUAUGGUAUUAUAUCUAACUCUGCUAUACAGUGGAUAUUACCACAGCUUUGUACUUUCAUACUUGCUUGGUUUGAAUUCUAAUAAAAGUAUAUUUUUCUAACAAAA